rnacentral:rRNA from 1 species
UAGGGAAUCUUCGGCAAUGGGGGGAACCCUGACCGAGCAACGCCGCGUGAGUGAAGAAGGUUUUCGGAUCGUAAAGCUCUGUUGUUAAGGAAGAACGAGUGUGAGAAUGGAAAGUUCAUACUGUGACGGUACUUAACCAGAAAGGGACGGCUAACUACGUGCCAGCAGCCGCGGUAAUACGUAGGUCCCGAGCGUUGUCCGGAUUUAUUGGGCGUAAAGCGAGCGCAGGCGGUUAGAUAAGUCUGAAGUUAAAGGCAGUGGCUCAACCAUUGUAGGCUUUGGAAACUGUGUAACUUGAGUGCAGAAGGGGAGAGUGGAAUUCCAUGUGUAGCGGUGAAAUGCGUAGAUAUAUGGAGGAACACCAGUGGCGAAGGCGACUCUCUGGUCUGUAACUGACGCUGAGGCUCGAAAGCGUGGGUAGCAAACAGG